GAAUUUUUUUGAGAUAUUGCAAAAUUAUUCUGCAGUAGAAACUUCAUUAUCUCCUGUGGAAUGUCUUUCCACAACUUGUCAAAGAAAUUACUCCUAAAAGAAUGGAUUAUACUCUUUAAUAAGAACAAAGAUUAGUUCAAAACUGGAUACCACAUUUCUAUGCAGCUGAAUAACAAAGGCCUAAUUUCGUUCCAAGACUAUUAUUGUAGUAUCAUGAGCCUUCCAGAAGCUAGACACUACUCUUCUUUUAGAUGCUGCUGGCGUUUACAGAAGAUAAUGCAGCCCAAGGAUGCCACAAGCCCCACGAGGUAACCAGCUAUAGCUCCAUAAGUCACACAAAUAGGCCAUUCCUGCCAUGGGCUUUCCCAAUCAAGUGGCAUUGGCCAAGCACCAAACCAUGCUCCAAUAACAGCUCCAUGAGCAGGCAGACUGAUCAUAUAGUCUGUGGACUCACUUGCUUUUGUUCUAGCAAAUAUUCGGUGCCAAUCAGUCCAUGAUGAGCCAAAAACACAAGCCGCUGGUACAAAAGUGAGUAGUGACAUCAGAAGAGACCAAUUAAAGGUCUUGGGGAAAUAUUCAAAACCAACAGGUGCUCCUAAUAUAGUAGCUCCGAGUGCAUUUACCACGGCUCCGGC
rnacentral:misc_RNA from 1 species